rnacentral:rRNA from 1 species
GACGAACGCUGGCGGCGUGCUUAACACAUGCAAGUCGAACGGAAAGGCCCUGCUUGUGUGGGGUGAUCGAGUGGCGAACGGGUGAGUAACACGUGAGUAACCUGCCCUUGACUUUGGGAUAACUUAAGGAAACUGGGGCUAAUACCGGAUAGGAGCUCCUGCUGCAUGGUGGGGGUUGGAAAGUUUCGGCGGUUGGGGAUGGACGCGCGGCUUAUCAGCUUGUUGGUGGGGGAGUGGUUUACCAAGGCUGUGACGGGUAGCCGGCCUGAGAGGGUGACCGGCGACAUUGGUACUGCGGUACGGCCCAGAGUGGUAUGGUGGGCAGCAGUGGCGAAUAUUGUACAACGGGCGGACGUCUGAGGCAGCAACGCCGCGUGCGUGAUGCCGUCCUUCGGGUUGUAAACCGCUGUCGCCUGUUACGAAGCGGGAGUGACGGUAAUGAGUAAAGAAGCACCGGCUAACUACGUG